CCAACAAGAAUUGCCAGGCUGAAACAUGCAGAGGCAGACAUAUCCUCAGCUAAAAGACAACGAAGCAAAGCGGAGGCAUAUUGGUGGAUCAUUUGUAACAUCAGUAUUUGAUUUGCUAAGGCCAUCGUAUGUGCAGGUUGCAGAGUUUAAAUGCCUUCUCGGUGUUAAAGCUAACACCAAAGAAUGAAUACUUAUGUGUACCUUUUGUAAGCCAUGACCAAACUCUCAAGCUUCAAAAGUACAGUUUGAUGCUACAACCGCUUGGUGACAGUGCACCAGUACUGGAAGGAUCCUAGGUCAGUCUUAGAUUCCAUUAUUUGUGCCUCUAUUCACUGUCUUUAAAGAUAUGAUAUACUGGCUCCUUCUUCUGAUGUUCUGUAUUGUAUCUAAUUCUCUCAUCAAUUAUUACACUAAAGAUAAGGUCAAAUUUCGUUUGUUUGGUUUUUAUAUUCAUCAGUGCCUUCUAAUACCAGUGAACAUAUUUAGGAUUGUCUAGGAUCACUUUGGUUCUUGCUGGGUAUUUUGGUGCUGUAGAAUCAUUGUCUGACAAGAGCUGCAUCACAUAUAACAUGGUAACACCAAGUUUCAACAAAACAAUAAUUGAUCAUUGCUAGAACCUUUCUCUACGAAAUAUUAAUAUGGUGUCCAGAACAUCAUUUAGAUCUUCUAUUCACUUAAGUAUAUGUGGUCGUAUGCCGCAAUCGGUUGUAAGAAGAUACUGCUGUGGUCGUUUGCUUUCAUAGUACACUAAUAAAGGUUCUUCUCGACAUGUGCAGGUGCCUUUUAUACAACUAAAUAAAUGUCUAAUUACCAGGCCGAGGAUGCUCUGUACAUGGACAGUGUUGAUGAAUGAUAAAACGGAAGAUAUUGACGACGACUUAGAUGAGGACUUUCAUGGGGAUGACAUGCCUGCAUCUGACUGCAAUGUCGACGAGUUUGACUACUUCGUAAGCAUAUAUGCCUUUUUAACAAGUCUAAUAUUAUUUGGUUUGUGUCCUUCUUAAAUUCCUACGUUAAUGCAUAGUUAAAUAGCUGAUAUAGGUUCAUGAGUCGAGAUUUUUUUUUUUUUUUAACUAUACAGUGUGGCUUUCUUUGGUUUUGGAGUAAUAAAAUAGCUGAUACUACGCCUUUAACUGUUGUCUGCUUGGUUCACAAAUAAUAUUGCUUUCAGUUGCUAUCGUAUUUCAUUUGUAUAAUCACCUUAGGAUUGCAUGGUCACACAGAAAGGGACCGUUUUUUUUUAUGGCGGAAUUUAAGAUCUAUCAAUGUAAGCAUCCUUCAUUUUCAGGUUAUCAUCGACGCUUUGAAAAAAAAGUUGCAGUCAAUUGAGUACACUUGCAGUCAGGGAUAAAUUUAAGUUGAUAUCAUAAAAUUUUAGAUCAUGUUUCUGGAAAGGAGUAAGAGCGUUCUCUGGUUUUAGUAUGGUUUGUUGAUGUUAUGGUGUGGUUAGUUGAAUGAUAUAUUAUGGUUAGUCACAGGCCUGUUCUUGGAUUCAUUGUAAUUUAAUAAAUAUAUGUGUUUUCUUAAGAUAAAUGGGAAGUUUGGAUGUUAUAAAAGC